GGAAAAAAUAACGGGGUAUCGCUGCCGCAAAGGACCUAGACCGUAAUAGAUGCGAUGAAAUAAAACACGUUGCUGAAGUUUGUACAAACGGAAUGGUUCAUUUUUUCCCCUCAUUGCAACACGUUUAAAAGACAUUUUUGAGUAAAAGCAUAGCCAGUUGUUGCUUCCGAGUGUACAGUGACAUUUUCCUGAGGCAGUGCGACCUGUGAUACCAUAACAGGCAGAAGGCUCCAGCAGACGAGAAUCCAGCUGUUCCCUACCACGUCUGGCACUGAAGAGAUUCACAGAGAUGUAAAGUGACGUUACCAGUUACAGGUUUCAGUCCAUCAUCGAGGGAAGUCAAAGCAGGAUCUCAAGCAGUUACAUCCACGGCUGCAUCCAUCCAUCAGGUUAUGUCCACGGCUGCAUCCAUCCAUCAGGUUACAUCCACGGCUGCAUCCAUCCAUCAGGUUACAUCCACGACUGCAUCCAUCCACCAGGUUAUGUCCACGACUGCAUCCAUCCACCAGGUUACGUCCACGACUGCAUCCAUCCAUCAGGUUACAUCCACGGCUGCAUCCAUCCAUCAGGUUACGUCCA